AGAGACCGGCGCACGGGUGCGUAACGCGUAUGCAAUCUACCUUUUGCAGAGGGAUAGCCCAGAGAAAUUUGGAUUAAUACCUCAUAGUAUGUGAGAAUGGCAUCAUUUUCACAUUAAAGUCACAACGGCAAAAGAUGAGCAUGCGUCCCAUUAGCUAGUUGGUAAGGUAACGGCUUACCAAGGCAACGAUGGGUAGGGGUCCUGAGAGGGAGAUCCCCCACACUGGUACUGAGACACGGACCAGACUCCUACGGGAGGCAGCAGUGAGGAAUAUUGGACAAUGGGCGCAAGCCUGAUCCAGCCAUGCCGCGUGCAGGAUGACGGUCCUAUGGAUUGUAAACUGCUUUUGUACAGGAAGAAACACUGGUUCGUGAACCAGCUUGACGGUACUGUAAGAAUAAGGAUCGGCUAACUCCGUGCCAGCAGCCGCGGUAAUACGGAGGAUCCAAGCGUUAUCCGGAAUCAUUGGGUUUAAAGGGUCCGUAGGCGGUUUAGUAAGUCAGUGGUGAAAGCCCAUCGCUCAACGGUGGAACGGCCAUUGAUACUGCUAGACUUGAAUUAUUAGGAAGUAACUAGAAUAUGUAGUGUAGCGGUGAAAUGCUUAGAGAUUACAUGGAAUACCAAUUGCGAAGGCAGGUUACUACUAAUGGAUUGACGCUGAUGGACGAAAGCGUGGGUAGCGAACAGGAUUAGAUACCCUGGUAGUCCACGCCGUAAACGAUGGAUACUAGCUGUUGGGGGCAACUUCAGUGGCUA
rnacentral:rRNA from 1 species